CUCAGGACGAACGCUAGCGGCAGGCCUAACACAUGCAAGUCGAACGGUAAGGUCCCUUCGGGGAUACACGAGUGGCGCACGGGUGCGUAACACGUAUGUAACCUACCUUCCAGGGGGGGAUAGUCGCGGGAAACUGCGAAUAAUACCCCAUACGAUCUUUGUGUCGCAUGGCACGAAGAUGAAAGUUCUGGCGCUGGAAGAUGGGCAUGCGUUCCAUUAGCUAGUUGGCGAGGUGACGGCUCACCAAGGCGACGACGGAUAGCUGGUCUGAGAGGAUGAUCAGCCACACGGGAACUGAGACACGGUCCCGACUCCUACGGGAGGCAGCAGUGAGGAAUCUUGGUCAAUGGGGGCAACCCUGAACCAGCCAUGCCGCGUGGAGGAAGACGGCCCUCCGGGUUGUAAACUUCUUUAGCUAGGGGCUAAUCGGGUUCUAUACGGACCCUUGCAGGUACCUAGAGAAUAAGCACCGGCUAACUACGUGCCAGCAGCCGCGGUAAUACGUAGGGUGCAAGCGUUGUCCGGAUUUAUUGGGUUUAAAGGGUGCGUAGGCGGAUAGAUAAGUUCGUGGUGAAAUCGUUCGGCUUAACCGGAUACCCGCCAUGGAUACUGUUUAUCUUGAGUGUGGUUGAGGAAGUUAGAACGCGUGGUGUAGCGGUGAAAUGCAUAGAUAUCACGCAGAAUACCGAUUGCGAAGGCAGACUUCUGGACCAUAACUGACGCUGAGGCACGAAAGCGUGGGGAGCGAACAGGAUUAGAUACCCUGGUAGUCCACGCUGUAAACGAUGAUCACUAGGUGUUCGGUCGUACGACUGAGUGCCCAAGCGAAAGCGAUAAGUGAUCCACCUGGGGAGUA
rnacentral:rRNA from 1 species